ensembl:lncRNA
UUUUUUUUUUUUCCCCCUCUUUUGGAAAAUAAAUGACAUAUAGGCGCUACAGACAGGCUCAGUUUCCUGGAAAGAACACUGUGCGCUACGUGGCUCUCGAUAGGCAGGUGAGGGAGGGAAAACUGAGGCCUAAAGCCUGAGAAAGUGAGCAGGGUAGUGAGGGAGGGGACCUCCCAGCAGAAAUCGGUUCAGAUCCGACCUCAGCGGGGUGCGUGCACCAGAUGUUUGCAGAGGGUGUGGAUCCGCUGCCAGGUUCCGCACCCCGGGGAACCGGGGAACCGAGCUCGUCUUGGCUGGGCUUCUAGCAAAAUCCUGGUCUUUGGAAUUUUUUCCAAACAGGGAGCUACUCCGUGCUGCCCGGGGGGUCCCGGCGGUGCGGAAGCCCACCUUCUUGGCGUGUCCCCCGGAAGUGGCUGCCUAUUGUCUGGUCUUAGAGUCGGAGUUUCAGCUUUUGUGGGAGGCCACAGUCUUCAAGGAAGGGGGCUUCUCCCUGUGGAGAGGGGGCUCCAUGUAUCUUCCAGAAGCCUCUCAGCAUCGCGCCUUCCCACUAAGCACCGUAGGAUGGGCCUGCCAGGACCCAGGGCCACCGGGCUGCUCAAGGAGCCACAUCUCUCAGUUUUCCGCACCACGCCUCUGCAGAUUUCUGCCCCAGGAGUGUGUGAUCACCAAUUACUUUCUGAUCCAAAUGUGUUUCUCAAGCAGAAAAGGCUUCACAGAGCGAAGAGAAACACGGCGUGAAGCGUUGCUGCUUGAAAGCUGUGACGACGUGAACACGCGGUGGUUUAGCAGCUCUGGAUCCUCUCUGGGCCGAUGGGUAUGAGCUGGUAUAUAUUUAGCUUACUUUUUUCCAACUCCUCUGCUAAUGCUGCAUCUUUUUCUUUUUCUUUCUUUCUUUCUUUCUUUCUUUCUUUCUUUCUUUCUUUCUUUCUUUCUUUCUUUCUUUUUUUUCGUCUUUUUAGGGCCACACACGGCAUGUGGAGGUUCCCAGGUUAGGGGUCCAAGUGGAGCUAUAGCUGCCGGCCUACACCAGCCACAGCAACACCAGAUCCGAGCCACAUCUGCCACCUACACCACAGCUCAUGUCAAUGCCGGAUCCUUAACCCACUGAGCGAGGCCAAGAAUCGAACCUGCAACCUCCUGGUUCCUAGUCAGAUUCGUUUCUGUGGUGCCACAAUGGGAACUCCAAUGAUGUAUCUUUGUGUUUGCCAGAGACCCUCAGAGUUGCCUUAAGUUGUCUCCUUCUAAUUCUUAAGGGCUUUCUUAUUUUUAUGAGUUUCAUAAAUAUUUUUGAUACCAUUGUUCAUAUUUAUCAUGAAGUGUUCCUUCACUCCAUUGCUUUUCUUUAUGUGUAUGUAGUGAUGUUUAUAAAUUUUUAAAGUGUAUUAUAUUCUCAUAGCCUCCCAUACUUUUAACUACGUGCGUGUCUGGUUACUGGACUCAGAUCUUUCGCCCCAGGGGCAUCUGUUCUGGAAGAUGCCCCCCUACCACCCUAGCCCCCAGCCUGAGGAAGUUCACUAGACAGUCUGAAUUGUAGACUGCAAAGUGGCUUUGACUCUUGUAAAUUGGGUAUCUUUAUCUGCAUCAUAUAGCUAGGAAACUGAGCUCAGAGACGUUAAGUAUUUGAGUAAACACCUCAGAUGGGACCGAAACUCAGGUCUGGUUGAGCGGAAACCCAGGCUUUGCCCUGUCACCAG